rnacentral:tRNA from 1 species
UAGAAAAUAAUAUAAAGGGAGUAUGGAGGGUUUUGAUCUCUCUAGUGUGGGUUCGAUUCCUACUUUUCUAA